GACGAACGCUGGCGGCGUGCUUAACACAUGCAAGUCGAACGGAAAGGCCCUGCUUUUGUGGGGUGCUCGAGUGGCGAACGGGUGAGUAACACGUGAGUAACCUGCCCUUGACUUUGGGAUAACUUCAGGAAACUGGGGCUAAUACCGGAUAGGAGCUCCUGCUGCAUGGUGGGGGUUGGAAAGUUUCGGCGGUUGGGGAUGGACUCGCGGCUUAUCAGCUUGUUGGUGGGGUAGUGGCUUACCAAGGCUUUGACGGGUAGCCGGCCUGAGAGGGUGACCGGCCACAUUGGGACUGAGAUACGGCCCAGACUCCUACGGGAGGCAGCAGUGGGGAAUAUUGCACAAUGGGCGGAAGCCUGAUGCAGCAACGCCGCGUGGGGGAUGACGGCCUUCGGGUUGUAAACCGCUUUCGCCUGGGACGAAGCGUGAGUGACGGUAAUGGGUAAAGAAGCACCGGCUAACUACGUG
rnacentral:rRNA from 1 species